GGCCUUGUAGUUCAGUUGUUUAGAGCGUUGGCUGUACUAAAGCUUUCUCCUUGUUGACGUGGGUUCGAAUCCCAGUGAGGCCG
rnacentral:tRNA from 1 species